UACGUAGGGUGCAAGCGUUAGUCGGAAUUACUGGGCGUAAAGCGUGCGCAGGCGGUUUUGUAAGACUGUCGUGAAAUCCCCGGGCUUAACCUGGGAAUGGCGAUGGUGACUGCAAGGCUAGAGUUUGGCAGAGGGGGGUAGAAUUCCACGUGUAGCAGUGAAAUGCGUAGAUAUGUGGAGGAACACCGAUGGCGAAGGCAGCCCCCUGGGUCAAAACUGACGCUCAUGCACGAAAGCGUGGGGAGCAAACAGG
rnacentral:rRNA from 1 species